UGUAUAUGGUUUACAUGGACAACACGCCGGACAUUUCACCUGGGCUCCCCGGACCUAAGGGUAAUACGGGGACUAUGCCAAAGUCCUCAUAAAUCAAAGAGCGGAAUUGCAUUCGUUAGUGUCUAAAUAACAUAAAUUCUCUUUUUCUUUGAAAGUCCUCAUUUACCACUUGACCUGAUUUUGAGUGUAUCCCAGUGUAUCAGAACAGCGACGCCACUGCUGGGUUCUAUAUUGCAGUUUCAUACACAUUUCUGAUACACACGGUGCAUUUUGGCGGGCUGUCUUGUGAUUGGCUGGUUUACGCGCGUGGGCGGGGCCAAACGGAAGUCGGCUGGAAGCUCCGCCCACACAUGCCCGGAGCAUGGCCGAGAGACGUCGCUUGUUUAAAACUUAAAUGGACCACACCUGGGAAGCAGCAGCUAGACGUCAUGGACUUACUAGAGGAUUAAAUACAUACAGGCCCUUGAUGACGAAAUGGCUCCAAAGAUUUGUGGUGCCACAAAUCCCCCAUCCACAAUUGAUGAUACUGAAGAGCUGACCACUGAGAGCAAGUGCAUCCAUACAGCUGUCAGCUACCUGAAUCAGACUAGUCCAGAGCUCGGCCCACUCACCAAGGUUGAAGAGG